GACAGAGGGUGCAAGCGUUGUUCGGAAUUACUGGGCGUAAAGCGCGUGUAGGCGGCUCUGCAAGUCGGAUGUGAAAUCCCACGGCUCAACCGUGGAAGUGCAUUCGAAACUGCAGGGCUAGAGUCCUGGAGAGGAAGGUGGAAUGGUUGGUGUAGAGGUGAAAUUCGUAGAUAUCAAGCGGAACACCGGUGGCGAAGGCGGCCUUCUGGACAGUGACUGACGCUGAGACGCGAAAGCGUGGGGAGCAAACAGG
rnacentral:rRNA from 1 species